ACAGACGGAAACGACUGCUAAUACCGAAUAAGUUCCAAGAGCCGCAUGGCCCAUGGAAGAAAAGGUAGGCUCUACCUGUAAGCUAUCGCCUGAAGAGGGGUUUGCGUCUGAUUAGCUGGUUGGAGGGGUAACGGCCCACCAAGCGACGAUCAGUAGCCGGUCUGAGAGGAUGAACGGCCACACUGGAACUGAGACACGGUCCAGACUCCUACGGGAGGCAGCAUG
rnacentral:rRNA from 1 species